UACGUAGGGUGCAAGCGUUGUCCGGAAUUAUUGGGCGUAAAGAGCGUGUAGGCGGCCCGAUUAGUCCGCUGUGAAAGUCCAGGGCUCAACCCUGGAAUGCCGGUGGAUACUGUCGGGCUAGAGUCCGGAAGGGGCGAGUGGAAUUCCUGGUGUAGCGGUGAAAUGCGCAGAUAUCAGGAGGAACACCAAUGGCGAAGGCAGCUCGCUGGGACGUGACUGACGUUGAGACGCGAAAGCGUGGGGAGCAAACAGG
rnacentral:rRNA from 1 species